rnacentral:rRNA from 1 species
AUGGCGACGUCGGCGGCGGAGGACCUGGAGGCGGGGGCGGGGUCUCCGAUCGCGGCGUUCGCGGUGGCCAAGGGCGGCGUCGUGCUGAAGCACAUCUUCCUCAACGGGCCGCCGACGGAGGCGGCGCGGCGCGGCGCGGAUGCGGAUCGGGCGGAGGAGGAGGCGGAGGAUCCGCCGGUGCUGUUUGGGCGGCACCCCGACUGCCACGUCCUCAUCGACCACCCCAGCGUCAGCCGCCGCCACCUCGAGGUCCGCUGCAAGCGGCGCCAGCGCCGGAUCACCGUCACCGACCUCUCCUCUGUGCAUGGGACCUGGAUCUCGGGCCAAAGGAUCCCACCAAACACGCUGGUGGAGCUGGUGGCUGGUGAUACACUGCAGCUCGGGGCCUCGAAGAGGGAGUACCGACUUCACUGGCUUUCCCUGCGCGAGGCAUUUGAGAUGGAUGAUCUGCUUCCACCACUUGUUGAGGAGGACAAGGAGGAGAUCCAUACUCAUCAGGAAGCACAGGAUCAGUUGGUGCCUGGGCAGAGGGAACCAAUGGAGACAAGAACUCAUCAGGAGACAAAACAUCAAGUGGUAUCAGAACAAACUGAAUGCUGGGCUAAAGUGAUCCCCUCGGCACCACCAUUGCCUGAGUCUUCACUCUCACAUUUUCAUGACAACAGAGUGGGAGUGAUAGGGGGGACGAUUGUUAGUGAGAAUUCAAUUACAGAAUCUGUUGGCUCUUCAAUAAUACAGGCAGCUGGAAAACCAGUCCAAUCAGACAAACAGAAAGCAUCAGGCACCAUGUCCCGAAGGGCCAAGUUGAAGUCAGUGAAGUCUCUUCACAUUGACACAGGAAGGAGAAGCAGGACUUUGAGCUACAGCUACAAGAACGAAGAAGCCCAAAAUGAGAAUCGUGUAUGUUCUCAAAACUGCAAGGGAGAAUGUGCAGCCUGCAUGGUUUUGUUUGAUAAUUUUGAUGUCAAAGCUGGAGAGAAGGAAAGGAUGAUUGCACCAGAAAAGGUCCACAUCAACCCCCAUGUCAUGGACAGCAGUACCAUGGAGAGGAAUCAAGAAGUGCCAAACCCUCUGAAUUUGGAGCGUUCGGAUGAAGAGAAGUCCAUACUGAAUUUUGCUAAGGAGACAGAGCAGCAUGACAUUUUCUCUGAAAAUUCUAUCCCACAAGAUUCAUUUGAUGCAAAACCACAGAUGGGACCAGAGUCGCCAUGUGCUGUUUCCCCUUCGGUUUCCAAAUACGGAACCUUUGCAAAUCAAAUCUCACAGCUGGAUUCUACUAUACAUAUGGAAUCCUAUGAGGCCAUGCCAGAAAAUCCUUUCACGCAUGACAUGAUUGAUGGAAAUACGAAUAGCCACCAAGAGAUGAAGCAUGAUGGUUUGUCCCAUCAUAAAUUGGAUGGAGUUCUGUCAAACAAGGAGAAAAUGGCCCAAAAUAAGAUUGUUGUGGAGGACUGUCAGCUUGAAGGCAUAAAUUUUGGGAGUAUAUUUGACAACUUGGAUAUAGAAGCAACUGAAGAAAAAGAAGAGAUCAGUCUACUGGACAAGGAGAAUACCACCCCUUAUGCCUCGAGCAACAUAACAUUUGAGAGGAGUCAGAUAAUGUUGAAGCCUACCAGUUCCCAAGAGUUGAUGGAUUCCAUUUCCCCUCUGAAUUUGGAACAUGAUGACUUUUCAGAGGGUGAAAACUCCGUGUUGAACAUUGUAAAGAAGAUGAAGUCAAAUGAACUUACAUCUGAAAAUCUUAUUCCGUUAAUGUCAGUUAAAAGAGAAUUUAUGCUCAUGCCGGAUGAAGAUUUCAAAAAUGACAUCAUUCUAGACAAGGAAAACUCAGUACCACCUGGAAAGUACAAUGCUGCUAUCUCCCCUGCGGAACAAGGAAACCUUUUUCUUGAUGAGAAUGUGGCACCUGCCUCCAUGGAUCUCAAGCCCAUUGCUGGGAAGGUUCUGGUGUCAGCAGAGUUCACUUCAAACAGGAGCAUCCAUCAAAGGGAAUGCAGUGAACUUUCAUCAGAAUAUGAUGCUACCUCCCCUGUGAGGCAACAAAACAUCUUUCCAGACAAGGAAAAUGUGACACCUCCCUCCAGAGUUCUCAAGUCCAUUGGUAGGAAGGUUCUUGGCUCAAGGAUGGAUAAUUCAGUGUCGGCCGAAUACACGCCAAACAGGAGCAUCAGUAAACGGGAAUGCAAUGAUCUAUCAUCAAAGUCCAAACGUUUCCACACAGUAGAUGCUGAAGCUUUCUAUUCAGAUAAGGAGAAUUUGACACCUAUAUCUACAGGAGGUAUGAAAGCGAGAAGUUGUCUUCCAAAGAACCUGUUCCCAGUGGAUGCAGACCAAGAUCAGAAGGCAUUCUGCUCCGACAAGGAGAACUCUACACCUAUAUCUACAGGAGGUAUGAAAGCGAGAAGUUGUCUUCCGAAGAACCUGUUCCCAGUGGAUGCAGACCAAGAUCAGGAGGCAUUCUGCUCCGACAAGGAGAAUUCUACACCUAUAUCUACAGGAGGUAUGAAAGCGAGAAGUUGUCUUCCGAAGAACCUGUUCCCAGUGGAUGCAGACCAAGAUCAGGAGGCAUUCUGCUCCGACAAGGAGAAUUCUACACCAGUAUCUUGUGUAGCUCAGAAAACAAGGGAUGUGUCUGAAAACCGUGCACGAAUUGAAAGUGCAAUCACAAAGAAAAGGGUGGUAGAUAGGCUCCCUUUCCAGACUCUUCUGUCAAAUUCUCCCUUGAGACCAACUAGCUCAUUUGAUUGUACCCAGGCUGAUGCUAGUGAAGCUAAUCUCUCAAUCAGGUUGGAAGAUGAACUGAACAGCCUUCCACACAAAAACCACGAAUCAAAUAGGGUUGGAGAAGGGAUGAAAGUCUGGACCAUGUUGGCUGAUACCGAUUGUCUUCUUGAUGACGAAUCAAGGAAGUCUAUAAUGCUACUAAAAGGCAUAAAAGGAACUCAUCUGAUCAUACCAAGGAUUGUGAUGAGGGAGCUCGAAGGCAUGAAACAGCGGGAGGGCAUGUUCAAGAGGUCAUCAAAGGCCACCUCCAUAAUGCAAUGGAUCGAGGAUUGCAUGGAGAACGAGAGCUGGUGGAUCCACGUGCAGAGUUCUUCCGAGAUGUUGCCAGUAGCACCAACCCCACCUGCAACUCCUACAGAAACGCAACGCAACAGUGAAAAGAGUGAAGCCACCGCUGCCGGCGCCUUCAACUCAAUGCUGGCCCUCUUAUCACCAAGGAGCUUCACUGGCAUCUUCUCCCCAAGAAGCCUCACUGACAUCGAUUCCCCGAAGACCGAAGACCGUAUCCUCGACUGCGCCCUCCUCUUCAACAAGCUGAGAGGCAGUGGCCAGAACAUGGUCAUCCUGUCCAACAGCGUCAACCUCAAGAUCAAAGCCAUGUCCGAGGGCUUGCUGUGCGAGGGAGCCAAGGAGUUCCGGGAGACGCUGAUGAACCCUUGCUCUGAGAGGUUCAUGUGGGCGGCGAGCGUGCCGAGGGGGGCGGCGUGGUCACGCCUGGACGAGGCCGCACUGGCGGAGAACUACUACAACAGCCACCGUGAAUCCAGGAGGAAUGUCCCGAGGCCCGUUGAGGCUGCCAGGGGGCUCAAGCUGAUCCUGCUGCACAACAGCUCCUCCCUCUGCGCGCGUUCCGGCGACCAUCUCCGUCGCUGA